rnacentral:tRNA from 1 species
GGGAAUGUGGCUUUGUGGUAAAGUGCUUGCCUAGCAUGUAUGAAGCCCUGGGUUCGAUUCCUCAAUACCA